ACCUCAAAUCAGGCAAGAAUACCCGCUGAACUUAAGCAUAUCAAUAAGCGGAGGAAAAGAAACUAACAAGGAUUCCCCUAGUAACGGCGAGUGAAGAGGGAAGAGCUCAAAUUUUAAAUCUGCCUUGUUCCAAGGUCGAGUUGUAAUUUGAAGAAGCGUUUUCUUGGGCUCGCGGCCGGUAGAAGUUCUUUGGAACAGGACAUCAUAGAGGGUGACAAUCCCGUCCGUGACCGGUCGUGCGUUCAUAUACGAUACGCUUUCAAAGAGUCGAGUUGUUUGGGAUUGCAGCUCCAAACGGGUGGUAAACAUCACCUAAGGCUAAAUAUUGGCGAGAGACCGAUAGCGAACAAGUACCGUGAGGGAAAGAUGAAAAGAACUUUGAAAAGAGAGUUAAACAGUACGUGAAAUUGUUGAAAGGGAAACGAUUGAAGUCAGUCGUGCUGGCGCGAAAUCAACCCUCUCGUCUUGAGAUCACAUGGCGCGACGAGCCUCAAAACCGUCACGAAGCGUGAACUCUUGACGAAAAGGUGCACUUUCGUGUCCGCUGGUUAACAUCAAUUUCGAACGUCAUAAAAAGGCUGGAGGGAUGUGGCUCCUUCGGGAGUGUUAUAACCUUUAGCGGAAUGUGGCGUUCGGGAUUGAGGAUUGCAACGAAUACCUUCAGGGCUGUUCCACCUGGCUUCUCAUUGGUAUCCUGGUGACGACAGCUUGCUGACGUCGUUAGGAUCAGCUUCUGAACAGGCUAGAGUGUGAGCAAAUUCGUUAAGGAUGUUAACGUAAUGGCUUUAAACGACCCGUCUUGAAACACGGACCA
rnacentral:rRNA from 1 species